GUGCACCAGGCGAGAAUACUUCACAAUGUGCGAAAGCACGAUGAGGAAUCCCAAGUGCUUGCACGUAAGUGUAAGCUGUUUCUCUGUCUAAAACGCAGAGAGAGUAAGGGCUGGGUAAGACGGUGCCAGCCGCCGCGGUAAUACCUGCAGCUCGAGUGGUGACCGUUAUUAUUGGGCCUAAAACGUCCGUAGCCGGUUUAA
rnacentral:rRNA from 1 species